AUUGAACGCUGGCGGCAGGCCUAACACAUGCAAGUCGAACGGUAACAGGAAGAAGCUUGCUUCUUUGCUGACGAGUGGCGGACGGGUGAGUAAUGUCUGGGAAACUUCCUGAUGGAGGGGGAUAACUACUGGAAACGGUAGCUAAUACCGCAUAACGUCGCAAGACCAAAGAGGGGGACCUUCGGGCCUCUUGCCCUCGGAUGUGCCCAGAUGGGAUUAGCUAGUAGGUGGGGUAACGGCUCACCUAGGCGACGAUCCCUAGCUGGUCUGAGAGGAUGACCAGCCACACUGGAACUGAGACACGGUCCAGACUCCUACGGGAGGCAGCAGUGGGGAAUAUUGCACAAUGGGCGCAAGCCUGAUGCAGCCAUGCCGCGUGUAUGAAGAAGGCCUUCGGGUUGUAAAGUACUUUCAGCGGGGAGGAAGGGAGUAAAGUUAAUACCUUGGCUCAUUGACGUUACCCGCAGAAGAAGCACCGGCUAACUCCGUG
rnacentral:rRNA from 1 species